UGGGCGCAAGCCUGAUCCAGCCAUACCGCGUGGGUGAAGAAGGCCUUCGGGUUGUAAAGCCCUUUUGUUGGGAAAGAAAAGCAUUCGGUUAAUACCCGGGUGUUCUGACGGUACCCAAAGAAUAAGCACCGGCUAACUUCGUGCCAGCAGCCGCGGUAAUACGAAGGGUGCAAGCGUUACUCGGAAUUACUGGGCGUAAAGCGUGCGUAGGUGGUGAUUUAAGUCCGUUGUGAAAGCCCUGGGCUCAACCUGGGAAUUGCAGUGGAUACUGGGUCACUAGAGUGUGGUAGAGGAUAGUGGAAUUUCCGGUGUAGCAGUGAAAUGCGUAGAGAUCGGAAGGAACAUCUGUGGCGAAGGCGACUAUCUGGGCCAACACUGACACUGAGGCACGAAAGCGUGGGGAGCAAACAGGAUUAGAUACCCUGGUAGUCCACGCCCUAAACGAUGCGAACUGGAUGUUGGGUUCAACUUGGAACCCAGUAUCGCAGCUA
rnacentral:rRNA from 1 species